rnacentral:rRNA from 1 species
AUUGAACGCUGGCGGCAGGCCUAACACAUGCAAGUCGAGCGAGCGGCGGACGGGUGAGUAAUGUAUGGGGACUGCCCGAUAGAGGGGGAUAACUACUGGAAACGUUGGCUAAUCCCGCAUACUAUCGGCUAACCCCUAUGGGAUUAGCUAGUCGGUGGGGUAAAGGCUAACCUAGGCGACGAGCUCUAUCUGGUCUGAUAGGAUGAUCAGCCACACUGGGACUGAGACCCGGCGCAGACUCCUACGGAGGCAGCAGUGGGGAAUAUUGCACAAAGGGCGCAAGCCUGAUGCAGCCAUGCCGCGUGUAUGAAGAAGGCCUUAGGGUUGUAAAGUACUUUCAGCGGGGAGGCGAUAACCGAAGAAGAAGCACCGGCUAACUCCGUGCCAGCAGACGCGGUAAUAG